UACAGAGGGUGCUAGCGUUGUUCGGAAUCAUUGGGCGUAAAGAGCGUGUAGGCGGCCAGGUAGGUCUGCUGUGAAAACUCGAGGCUUAACCUCGAGAUGUCGGCGGAAACCAUCUGGCUAGAGUCCGGAAGAGGAGAGUGGAAUUCCUGGUGUAGCGGUGAAAUGCGCAGAUAUCAGGAAGAACACCCGUGGCGAAGGCGGCUCUCUGGGACGGUACUGACGCUGAGACGCGAAAGCGUGGGGAGCGAACAGG
rnacentral:rRNA from 1 species